rnacentral:lncRNA from 1 species
CAUGCACACAAAUAAUCAUUUUAUAUUUAUUUUAUAUUAUAAUAUAAAUUUAUAUAUAUUAUAUUUAUAUAGUUAUAUUCUCCAUCCAAUCCUAUCUCCCAUCCAAUAGAUUCCUCGUCAUCCUUCAAGAGACAUCAAUCCCAUACUGACUUCUCUAACCUGCCUCUGAGGAGGAGAAUUUGGUAACUCCCUCCACUGCGUUACCACUGCAAUAUAACAAUGUAUUGGCAUCUCUAACUCGAGACUGAGAGCUCAAUUGAAGAAAUUUUAAAUUAAAAAUUUUUUAAUUAAAAAAAUUUCCAGCCCACUGUGAUUGAUUCCCAGAAAAGUCUUUGUAAAUGUUCGCUAAGUAAAUGAAUGUGGGAAUGUAUACCACUUCACCUGUUGACCACAGUAUCCUACACACCAAGGCCCCAUCCAAUGCGGAGUUUGGAAACAAAUGGAUGGAUUUCACCCAGGUCUGGAAUGUUAAACUAUAAACAGGAAGUCUGUCUGCUUCUGCUUUUCUGGUGAAAACUCUCUGCUCAUUCGUAAGCAGUGGGUGAGAAACGGAGAGAAGAUAUUUGAAAUAAUUCCCAGGUAAACAAUGACAUAACUCCCCGGUAAACAGAA